rnacentral:rRNA from 1 species
GUAAACGAUGUCUACUCGGAGUUUGGUGUCUUGAACACUGGGCUCUCAAGCUAACGCAUUAAGUAGACCGCCUGGGGAGUACGGCCGCAAGGUUAAAACUCAAAUGAAUUGACGGGGGCCCGCACAAGCGGUGGAGCAUGUGGUUUAAUUCGAUGCAACGCGAAGAACCUUACCUACUCUUGACAUCCAGAGAAUUCGCUAGAGAUAGCUUAGUGCCUUCGGGAACUCUGAGACAGGUGCUGCAUGGCUGUCGUCAGCUCGUGUUGUGAAAUGUUGGGUUAAGUCCCGCAACGAGCGCAACCCUUAUCCUUAUUUGCCAGCACGUAAUGGUGGGAACUUUAGGGAGACUGCCGGUGAUAAACCGGAGGAAGGUGGGGACGACGUCAAGUCAUCAUGGCCCUUACGAGUAGGGCUACACACGUGCUACAAUGGUCGGUACAGAGGGUUGCGAAGCCGCGAGGUGGAGCUAAUCUCACAAAGCCGGUCGUAGUCCGGAUCGGAGUCUGCAACUCGACUCCGUGAAGUCGGAAUCGCUAGUAAUCGUGAAUCAGAAUGUCACGGUGAAUACGUUCCCGGGCCUUGUACACACCGCCCGUCACACCAUGGGAGUGGGCUGCACCAGAAGUAGAUAGCUUAACCUUCGGGAGGGCGUUUA